CCUACGGGAGGCUGCAGUCGAGAAUCAUUCACAAUGGGGGAAACCCUGAUGGGGCGACGCCGCGUGGGGGAAUGAAGGUCUGCGGAUUGUAAACCCCUGUCAUGUGGGAGCAAAUUAAAAAGAUAGUACCACAAGAGGAAGAGACGGCUAACUCUGUGCCAGCAGCCGCGGUAAUACAGAGGUCUCAAGCGUUGUUCGGAAUCACUGGGCGUAAAGCGUGCGUAGGCUGUUUCGUAAGUCGUGUGUGAAAGGCGCGGGCUCAACCCGCGGACGGCACAUGAUACUGCGAGACUAGAGUAAUGGAGGGGGAACCGGAAUUCUCGGUGUAGCGGUGAAAUGCGUAGAUAUCGGGAGGAACACUCGUGGCGAAGGCGGGUUCCUGGACAUUAACUGACGCUGAGGCACGAAGGCCAGGGGAGCGAAAAGGAUUAGAUACCCGUGUAGUC
rnacentral:rRNA from 1 species